rfam:Ictidomys tridecemlineatus contig071962, whole genome shotgun sequence.
AUCCUUCGGUUCGUAAGCAUGAUGACUGGGGGGUCCUGCUCUUGUGUGAGAUGUGCCUCCCUCUAAACCUUGUUAUGACAUCAGCACAUUACCCAUCUGAUG